CGGGGGAGAGGCGAGGCGGCGCCCCUUGCAUUCUGUCCCCUCCCGACCAGGUCCGCCGGGCUCUGGGCAGCGCUGAGGGACCCCGCUGGUGACGGCUGGGAGGGGCUGAGGGCCUCCCGUCGGCGGCCCUGCUCAGGGCGCUCUGGCCGUGCAGCUGCGGGGGGAGGUGGGUCUGGUCCCUCCCCUGCGUGGGGCAGCCGCGUCCACGGGACGGCGGGCUCCUGGCUGCGCGCCGAGAGCACACUCUGGCCCGUUUUCCAGCGGGGCAGCUCCGCAGGGCCCCUACUCUCCGUUUGCAGCAGGGCCACGUCUGCAUUCAGGGUCCCAGGAGGACAGAAGUGACCCGGCUCCCCGCCCCUGGGUGCGCCCAGGCAGACCCCCGGGGUCCAUGCACACCGCGCUUUCUUCCUCAACCCAGCCAACCACGGGACCUGCCCACGCUGCCCUGGAAAGAGCUCUCGAAUCUCCUGAGAGGCAGGGUCGCGCUCCUGGCUCGCUCUCCAGCUCGACUGGCUUCCAGCCAGAGCAGAUGUGGAGUCGCCCUGAAUUGGCCGCCAUGAAUGAGGAGCAGGGACGGCCAUUGCCAGAGUCACAGCAUCACAGAGCAAACGACAGAGGCAUCUACCUCGGUGGAGGGCCAAUGGCUGUGCCAAACACAUUUCAUGCUCUGGUUUCUGGGUGCGUUGAGGCCUCGACACACUGUACCCCAACAUCAACGCCGCUGCAUCCCUGGGCAUUUCGCCCUGAAGGCUGAGUGUUCAACCCUGUGACGUGGUGCCUGCUCUGAGGACGAGCCCGGAGGACAUGCCGCUGGGACCGCAGCCUUUCGGAAGGGGCUUCAGCUAUGGGGAUGGUAUUAGUGUCCUGGGGCUGCCGUAACAAACCACCCCAAAUUUGGAACCUGAAAACAACAGGAAUGUCCUCUCUCACUGUUCAGGAGGCCAGAAUUCAGAAACCAAGGUUUCAUCAGGGCUGGUUCCUCCUAAAGGCCCAGAGGGAGAAUCUAUUCCCUGCCUCUCCCAGCUUCUGGGGUUCCCAGCAAUUCUCAACCUUCCGUGGCUUCUAGAUGCACCACUCGGAUCUCUGCCUGCAUCUUUCUGCCCCAUGUUUCUGCUUCUCUUCUCUCCUAAGGACUGUGUGUAUUUCAGGCCCACUCUAAUCCAGCACCAUCUCAUCUUGGGAUCCUGAACAGAAUGCAAUUUACCUUUUUCCACAUAAGGUCACAUGCACAGGUUUUGGGGGGACAAAGCUUUCCCCGGGCCCCCUUACUGGGUGAAUGGCAUUCAGUCCACCAUUCUCUGUCUUUCCCCCCAACCCCACAACUCCCAGAUCCUGGGAUGAGUUAUCCCACUCCUGGAACUGUAUCUUCAGGAACCGAUUCAAUAGCAUGAAAAAAACCAUUCUCUCUUUGUUGUUCUUUGUUAAUAACAUUGGAAAGUUGGAAACAGCCCCCAGGAGAGGCAGUAAUUACUUAAUGACUUCAAUAACAUUCAUGCAAACUUACUGCAGACUCAGUGGGCCCGGAGGGAGCAGGCAAGCAGGGAGCCCAGCUGCCGCCUCCAGCGUGGGGCUGCUGGCGCAGUGACCUGAGGAUCGCAGCUCGCCGCCCAGGAGUGGGCAUGGAGGGAAGCCUCGCCUCAGUGAGUGUGUGCCUCUGAAAAGGAGUCACGACAGCUACUCCGGCCUGUGAACCAGGCAGAGACAGUCCAGCUAUGGGAGGGGGCGGCCUGCACGAAUGCAGCAGGGCCACCUCGCUGGGACCCACAAUGGGCCCAGAUGACAAACACAGCGACCCAAAAGGGCAUGGGACUAGGUAGGAAAUAUAGUAUAAAAAUUGAUUCAGAAGGGGGCCUUGUAAAGGAGAAUUGGCAUAUGAUCCAGCAAUCCUACUUCUGGGCAUAUACCCAUACACCCCAGAAAAAACAGGGACUCAAAGAGAUGUGUGCACAUCCAUGCUCACAGCAGCAUGAGUCAUAAUAGUCAAAAGGCAGAAACAACCAAAAUGUCCAUCAGCGGAUAAAUGGAUAAGCCAAAACAUGGCAUAUGUGUGCAAUGGAAUAUUACUCAGCCUUAAAAAAGGAAGGACAUUCUGACACAUGUUAAAACAUCCUGCUAAAUGAAAUAAGCUCGUCACAAAUGGGCAGAUCCUGUGAGUCCACUUACUUGAGCUCCCUAGAGCAUGGGGUUCCUAGAGACUGAAGGUAGUGGUGGUCACCAAGGGCUGGGGGAGGGGAAAUGGGGGUUUGCAUUUAACGGGGGCACAGUUUCCAUUUGGGAAGGUGAAGAAGUUCUGGACAUGGAUGGUGGUGAUGGUUGUACAACAAUGUGAAUGGACUCGAUGCCAUAGAACUGUACACUUUAAAAUGGUUACAAUGGCACAUUUUAUGUUAUGUGUUUUAAACCAUGAUUUUGUUUUAAAAAAAGGUACCUAGUAAAGAAUUGUAGCUGAUUGGUAGAGGGGAGUGCAAAUCCCAGCCACACCUCUCUGUGAGUUCCUUGGUCCAUUCUGGAACUCUGUUUCCCUGGUCCAGGCACCCAGGGUGGUGAGCGAGGCAGGCAAGGUUGGUGUCCUCCUAGACGGCAGGCAAGAGCGGCAGGCAGGCCUUAGCCGUCAGCAAAUACCUAUCAGGUAUUAGCUCUGGGACUUUGGACAAGCCACUUCUCCUUUCCAAGUGUGUUUCCUUCUCUGUAAGGAUGAGAACAAUGAUCUGACCUAGUAAUGAUGCCAGAGGGUCAGUGCGUCCUCUGAGUCCCUGAGGCAUGAGUACUCAGCUUCAAAGGCACUGCACAUGGGUCACUUCCACAGUUCCAAGUCAGAAACAUGCGUCCAAGCUCACGCCAACAUGAUUCGGGUUGCACAGGGAUGGAGUUGGGCUGUACUAUAUAUAUAUAUAUAUAUAUAUAAUAUUUCUUUGUCAUGCAAAAUCUUUUUAUAUGCAUAGAAGGUCUAGAUGAUGUUCACCAAGGUGUGAAGAAUGGGUGAAGAAUGGGUGAUGUCAGGUAGGAAUAUUUUUAAAAUCUUUACUAAGAGAUUUGCUGGCUGGAUGAUCUUGGGCAAAUAACCUGACAUCUCUGAACCUCAGGUCAGUUGCCUUGGCUACAAAUUAAUAGUACUCACCUAUAGAGUGUUGCUGUUUUUUUAAUUCUCUAUUACAGGAAUGUUCAAACCUUCCCAGAAGAAGGAAUAAUCUCACAAACCUCUAUUACCCAGCUUUGCCCAUUAACAGUGAAUCAGCCAUCUUGACCAUCUCUACCUCCCCACCCCAACAACUGAUGGUUAUUAUCAAGAAAAUCCCAGAGAAUCUUCUUUUUAAAAAAACCACCAGAAUAUCAUUAUCGCACCCAAACUUUUAAGAACACAAUUUCUUAAUAUCCUCCGAUACCUAAUCAGUGUUUAACUAUCCCCGAUUGCCCCAUAAGUGCCUUUUCCAUUAGCUCUGCUUAAAUCAGGGUCUGCAAGAGCCACGCAUUACAUUUGGCUGCUAGAUCCUUUUGCCCAGUGUUUUUUCAGAGUAAUUUUCAAACACGUAGAGGAGGUGGAAGAAUUUCACAGUGUGUCCCCAGGUUCAACCAGUAACAUGAUAUUGUGGCUUUGUCCCAUGUCUGUCCAGCUACCUGUCUUUCUACAAUUGAUGACACUUUCAAGUCUCUCUCCAUCUAAACGCCUUCCCUUCUCUCCUGUUUUCUCCUCGACUUUUAUUUGUUGAAGUAAUCAUGUAAUUUGUCCUGUAGAACUUCUCACUGAAGGAUUAAUGAGCUAAUAUGUGCAUUAUAAUUAGGAUAUAGUGGGGAAUGAAUCAAUAUUCAUUCUUAUUUGCUUUUUUAAUUUAUCUGUAUUUUAUUUUUCC